rnacentral:rRNA from 1 species
GAUGAACGCUGGCGGCGUGCCUAAUACAUGCAAGUCGAGCGAACGGACGAGGAGCUUGCUUCUCUGAUGUUAGCGGCGGACGGGUGAGUAACACGUGGAUAACCUACCUAUAAGACUGGGAUAACUUCGGGAAACCGUAGCUAAUACCGGAUAAUAUUUUGAACCGCAUGGUUCAAAAGUGAAAGACGGUCUUGCUGUCACUUAUAGAUGGAUCCGCGCUGCAUUAGCUAGUUGGUAAGGUAACGGCUUACCAAGGCAACGAUGCAUAGCCGACCUGAGAGGGUGAUCGGCCACACUGGAACUGAGACACGGUCCAGACUCCUACGGGAGGCAGCAGUAGGGAAUCUUCCGCAAUGGGCGAAAGCCUGACGGAGCAACGCCGCGUGAGUGAUGAAGGUCUUCGGAUCGUAAAACUCUGUUAUUAGGGAAGAACAAAUGUGUAAGUAACUGUGCACAUCUUGACGGUACCUAAUCAGAAAGCCACGGCUAACUACGUG